rnacentral:lncRNA from 1 species
GUGACAACAAAAGCCUUGACCUAAUAUUUGACCCUACCUGCUUUUUUCUCAUGUGUUGCCAUCUCCCAGCCAUGGAAGAGCUGAGAUGAAGCUCUGGGCUGCCUACAGGUUUUCAGGAAGUGAUGACAAGUACCUCAGCUGCUCUCCCCCGCUUUCCACGUAUUGUUUCUGGAUUUGUCAGGGAACACACUGACACACACUGAGGCUGCUAUUUUUUAAUUUCUUCCAUUUUCUUUUUUUUUUUUUUUUUUUUUUUUUUUUUGGUCAGGUUUGAUGCUGAAUACAAACAGAUGCUUUGUUUAGAACAUGAUGGGGAAGAAAAACAUGGCUUAGGGUUAACACCCUCCUAGUGUUUAUCCAUAAAUAUGGAAUAGUGCAAGAACACCAGAUACCUAUGGAGCACUGUGAUUGGCUGCUACUGAUGUCAUUCUGAUGUCACUCAGAAGUGAUCAGUAUGUCACCCAGCAGAUGAACAGAUCAGCUUUCCUCAUUUGUGUGUAUAAAUUCCAUUUCAUAGUGGCACACUUUGGGGCAUUAUCGUACUUUUUGAGUUUUGGAGGACAUCUAGGCCUUUUCCUGAGCCUGUCAAUAUUUUGCUUGGCACACAUAAAUGUGUCCUCCCUCUCUGCUUUUUUCUCUCAUGGAUUGAGUCACAGAGAAAUGUGAGCAUUUACACUUCUGAAGUAGGUGUGAAUGGGACUGAAGGAAUUACAUGGAGGAUUCUGAACUCCCCUUCUUCCUGCUCCGGGAAAGACGGGUGAGUGUAUUAUGAAAUAGUUUAUAAUUAACUCAGUCCUUGCUUCAG